rnacentral:tRNA from 1 species
GACAAGUUGGCCGAGUGGUUAUGGCGCGUGACUCAAGUUAUCAAACUUGGAUCAGACUUUCAUCUGGUCUUGUAUUCUCGUUUCGAAAGAAGCGUGGGUUCGAAUCCCACACUUGUCA